GAUGAACGCUGGCGGCGUGCUUAACACAUGCAAGUCGAACGAAGCACCUCUCCCGAAGAUUGACACAGCUUGCUGUAGAUUGAUUCAUUUGAGGUGACUGAGUGGCGGACGGGUGAGUAACGCGUGGGUAACCUGCCUCAUAGAGGGGGACAACAGUUGGAAACGACUGCUAAUACCGCAUAGUAAGAAGAAUUCGCAUGUUUUCUUCUUGAAAGAUUUAUCGCUAUGAGAUGGACCCGCGUCUGAUUAGCUAGUUGGUAAGGUAACGGCUUACCAAGGCGACGAUCAGUAGCCGGCUUGAGAGAGUGAACGGCCACAUUGGGACUGAGACACGGCCCAAACUCCUACGGGGGGCAGCAGUGGGGAAUAUUGCACAAUGGGGGAAACCCUGAUGCAGCGACGCCGCGUGAGUGAAGAAGUAUUUCGGUAUGUAAAGCUCUAUCAGCAGGGAAGAUAAUGACGGUACCUGACUAAGAAGCCCCGGCUAACUACGUG
rnacentral:rRNA from 1 species